UAUGUAGGGUGCAAGCGUUAAUCGGAAUUACUGGGCGUAAAGCGUGCGCAGGCGGUUAUGUAAGACAGAUGUGAAAUGCCCGGGCUUAAACUGGGAACUGCAUUUGUGACUGCAUGGCUAGAGUUUGGCAGAGGGGGGUAGAAUUCCACGUGUAGCAGUGAAAUGCGUAGAUAUGUGGAGGAACACCGAUGGCGAAGGCAGCCCCCUGGGUCAAGACUGACGCUCAUGCACGAAAGCGUGGGGAGCAAACAGG
rnacentral:rRNA from 1 species